rnacentral:rRNA from 1 species
AACGAACGCUGGCGGCAUGCCUAACACAUGCAAGUCGAACGAGACAAGCGGGUCUGGUGGCGCACGGGGGCGUAGAGGGUGGGAAACUGCCCAUAGGUUUGGCAUAAAGCCCCGAAUGGGGUGCGAAAACCGGAGAAUGUCUUCGGACCAAAGGUAGAUCGCCCUUGGAUGGGCCCGCGUUGGAUUAGCUAGUGGGGAGGGUAAAAGCGUACAAAGGCGACGAGCCAUAGCGGGUCUGAGAGGAGGGUCAGCCACACUGGGGCUGAGCCACGGCCCGGACUCCUACAGGAGGCGGCAGUGGGUGAUAUAGGACUGUGGGCGGAGGCCUGAUCCUCCUCUGCCGCGUGAGUGCUGAAGGCUUUGGGGUUGUAAAGCUCUUUUACCCGGUAUGGUAAUGACGGUACCGGGAGAAUAAGCACCGGCUAACUUCGUG